CGGGCGCAGCAGGCGCGAAAACUUCACAAUGUGGGAAACCACGAUGAGGGAAACCCAAGUGCCAGCACUAUGUGUUGGCUGUCCUCCAGUGUUAAUAACUGGGGAAGAAAGUGCUGGGUAAGACGGGUGCCAGCCGCCGCGGUAAUACCCGCAGCCCAAGUGGUGGUCAUUAUUAUUGGGYCUAAAGCGUCCGUAGYUGGCUKRUUAGAUGCCUGGGUAAAUCGAAGCGCUUAACGYAUCGAAUUCCGGGUAGACCGCYCGGCUAGGGACCGGGAGAGGUGUGAGGUACUCUGAGGGUAGGGGUAAAAUCCUGUAAUCCUUGGGGGACCACCAGUGGCGAAGGCGUCACACUAGAACGCCUCCGACAAUGAGGGACGAAGCCCUGGGGCGCAAACCGGAUUAGAUACCCCGGGUAGUCCAGGGUGUAAACGCUGCCGACUUGGUGUCGCGUGAUCCUACGAGGGUACGCGGUGCCGGAGAGAAGAUGUUAAG
rnacentral:rRNA from 1 species